rfam:Equus caballus chromosome 20, whole genome shotgun sequence.
CCAAAGGCUCUUUUCAGAGCCACCCAAUGAUCUCAACAGAAGUAG